rnacentral:rRNA from 1 species
GCAAGUCGAGCGGAAACGACACUAACAAUCCUUCGGGUGCGUUAAUGGGCGUCGAGCGGCGGACGGGUGAGUAAUGCCUAGGAAAUUGCCUUGAUGUGGGGGAUAACCAUUGGAAACGAUGGCUAAUACCGCAUAAUGCCUACGGGCCAAAGAGGGUGACCUUCGGGCCUCUCGCGUCAAGAUAUGCCUAGGUGGGAUUAGCUAGUUGGUUAGGUAAUGGCUCACCAAGUCGACGAUCCCUAGCUGGUCUGAGAGGAUGAUC